UUAAGUGACGAUAGCCUAGGAGAUACACCUGUACCCAUGCCGAACACAGCAGUUAAGCCCUAGAACGCCUGAUGUA
rnacentral:rRNA from 1 species